CUUCCUACUGACUGUCUCUGUACAUUUGAAAUGGCAGAAAGAGAGCUCAUAGGAGCUCGGCCGAGAGGAGAAAAGAGGCUCGGGAGAGAGAGCUAUGAGCUAGAGAGAUUGAGAGAAAGCUUGCGAGAGAGAGAGUGAGAGCGCGAGAGGGAGGUAGCUACGCUCGGCCAUGGAAGAAGCAGCCUUGAGCUGCUGUUGCAAUGACCAAAAGAAGCAAGGCCAAUCGGCCAUGGGGUCGCGAAGAAGCAGCAGCAACCACCGCGGUGAUGAGCGGCGAUGUGCUUGCCGAAGAAGGCCGAAAGCAGCAAAGGCAACGGCGGCCAUGGCUGGUUGCAACGAUGCUGAAAGCAUCGGCCAUGGCAGAGACGGUUGCUGCGGCCAGAGGCAGCGGCGCUUGCAGCAAGCUUAGCCGGCUACGGAGGUUGCUCGGAGCAGCAGCGGCGUGGGGAGCGACCAGCUGUGGUCGCGAUCAGCUGUGAGGCAUCGGCAGCCGCGGCUGCGGUAGCAGCGGGCGGAGCCGGGAGCAACAGCCACGGUCGUUGGCGCUCGUGAUGGUGGAGACCGGUGGAGGCAAUGCUGGAAGGUGGCUCACGGCCGUGCGCAGCAGCUGGAACGGACCUGUUUGCACGCGAGGAAGAAGCAGCCGCGGGGAGGAGGAAGAUGAACAGUGCGCGUGCAGGGGGAGGUGCGGGAAGAAGAGAAAGAAAAUAAGGAGAAAAGAAAAAAAGAAAUAAAGGAAAAAGAAAAUAAAGAAAAUUUGGGAAAAAUCUGAAAAAAUAGGAGGAAAUUCCAGAAAAUUCUAGAAAAAGUCUGAAAAUUAUUUGGGGACACGAGGAGCGUGUCAGAGGCUUGAGAUCGAGAUCUUUGGUACAAGUGGCAGCUCGAGAGCCAACGCCAGUGUGGGCGUCUGAUCGGUUUUCUUCUCCAAAUUAAUCAAGGUUCGACCGGAGGGACGGUGAUCCUAGAAGAACUUGAGAUUCAGGCUGGAAUUCGUGCCGAGGCAAAGAUGAAGCUUCGAGCCAGAUGAUGCAAGUUCGGAUGCAAGCAGGGAUGGCGUCGGGAGGUCGUUGAGGCAACUAGCUGAGUUGCUGAGUUAUGUAUUUUUAAUAUUGCUUGUAUGUAGCCAGGGGGCGUGGUGUAUGUAUACCCUUGUGAGUAAAUGUCUGUGUUUUUGAGCUUAAAUGUAUUCAAUUGUGUAAUCAUCAUAGUGUGAUAGAUGAUUGUGAGAUUGCUUGUUGAAUGUGGCAUAGUUGGUAAAGCCAAGUUUCGGACCGAGUCAAGAUCAGCAAGGUAUGUUCUCAUAAAUCCCCAAUACUCAGCGAAGUGUUUGUAUGCUAGCUUUGUGCCUGGGUCACCUCUGGCUUGCUAUGGGGUGAGCUGAAGAGAGGUGAAGCUCACUCAGGUUUCGGGUCUUGGUCCGCUGGAUUUUUCUUAUUUGAGUUGGGACCGAUUCCUGAGUGGAGCGAAGGGAAGGACGAAGCCUAGUUCCCACGUAGGGCGUUUCCUGUUGAAACAUAGUCCAACCCUUCAGUUGUGGUUGUCGGGUGAGUAAUCUGGUCGAUUAUUUACCGGUGGCGCCUGUAAGUGGGAGCGGGUCGUUACAACUUGGCACGGGACGAGGUGGCCAUAGCCCGGCAAGUUGGCUCCAUAUUUAUUGUGAGGUUUUGUCUAUGUGAUACACUUUGGCAUGUGUUGAUUUAUGGCUCGCGAGCCUAUGAGACUUGAUUUUGAUAUUACAUUUAUAUGCACAUUUGCAUAAUAGUACAUGGUGGCAUGAUACAUUUAACUUGGAAUUGAUCAAGUCUUAAAAUGUGAUAUUUGUAUACAUCAGUGAUGUUCUGGAGUACUCUCUUUGGUGUCACCUUAUUCUUGGUUCAUGAUCAUUGUUUAUUACCUUAGAACUUGCUGAGCCUUGUGGCUCACUUGAUCUUCUUUGCCAUUCCAGGUAAAGGGAAAGCUAUUAUUGAGGCUGAGUCCAGUGGGACUAAAGCCUGAGGAUAAAGGUGUAUGGGGGCGCGUCCUAACUUGAAGAUCCUGUUAGCAUUUUGGUGAGACUUGAGAUGAAAUGAGUCUUAUUUUGUUAGUUAACAUUAGAGUCUCUUAUCUAUUUUGUAUGGCCGUUGAGCCCGACUCUUGAGCUAUUGGAAGUGUCAUUGAACUUAAGCAUGGUUUCCGCUGCUAAUGAAUGAAAUGAGUUGUUUGUUUAA